UACAGAGGUCUCAAGCGUUGUUCGGAUUCAUUGGGCGUAAAGGGUGUGUAGGUGGCGCGCUAAGUCGGGUGUGAAAUUUCGGAGCUUAACUCCGAAACUGCAUUCGAUACUGGCGUGCUUGAGGACUGGAGAGGAGACUGGAAUUUACGGUGUAGCAGUGAAAUGCGUAGAUAUCGUAAGGAAGACCAGUGGCGAAGGCGGGUCUCGUGGACAGUUCCUGACGCUGAGGCACGAAAGCGUGGGGAGCAAACAGGAUUAGAACCUAC
rnacentral:rRNA from 1 species